UUGAGUGGGGAAGAAAGGGGCCCUGUCCGAUUGGAAUCACAGGAAGGGGACGGUCCAGGGCUGCAGAGACAACAUCACACUGGAGAAAAGCUCGAGGCACCAUGCACGGCAGGAACCAGCAUUUCAGGUGGCCAAGACAUUUUCAUUUGCACAAAGGAUAUCACCUGCAGCAAGUAUUUUUGCUCUGAGUUUUUCUGACAGUUUCAAACUAGAGAACAAGGAUUUUUUAAGCCUCUACUGAGUAAUGGGUGUGAAGGGAUGACCUCCAGUGGCACCUCUGGAAGAUCACCUGGGUCACUUGCAGAGGACCUUCUUCCUCCCGUGUCACGCACCAGGUUCCACCUCAGAAAGGCAAUUCAGAAUCCUCCACAGUCAGGUGUUUCCAUCCAUCUCAACUUUCUGCCCCAAAUGGAGAAAGUUCUCACUUUUAAGAGCUCAUGGGACUUGACAACACCCAUCUGGAUAAUCCAGGAUAAAUCACCCCACAAGAAGUUCCAUAAAUUUAAUUUCAUCUGCUAGAUCCCUCUCGCCAUGUAACAGAAU